CGCCCAUGGGUCCUUGGCUGUCCCUGCCAGGACCAGCCCCAAGACCUGCAGGAUCAAAGGUGACUCUCUGGUCAACGUUUACCAAAUGUUUUACUCUCCACGUCUGAAAUGUUAAACCACACUCCCCACCCCCACCCCUGCCAACCCUUGAACAUUCGUUUCUUUCCUGCAAAUAAGCAAAACACUCUUUUCCUUGAAAUUCUGCAUGUUCAGCGGGAUAUUUUUGGGCACCGAGGUGGAUUGUAAUGCAAAUGCCCUUGAUUUUCUUGGGACUCUUUCUCCUGUGAAUUUCAGUGAGUGAUAGGCCCCCUUGAAAUAAAUGGGCUUUUGAUAGAUGAAAAUUCCCCCUUUCCCGGGUGAAAUGUGCUUGGUGGCAAAUACUUCCAUUUGGCAGAAUUUGUUUCAUAACUCAGUGUCCUGCGAAGCUCAGCGCAGCAAAUCUGUUAGGAUGCAGAGAGGAGCCGGGGUGAGGAUGGGGAGAGGGCCCGGAGGGCUCAGGACAUGGAGAUCUGCAAACGGGGUCACCAGGCACUGGAGUGACCCGCAGACGCCAACGAGGUGCAAAUCACACAAACCUAAGGUAAGACGGGAGAGGUGGCUACUGAUGGGCAGAACUCAGGAGGGACUGGCGGACACAGGGUAGCUGCUCUUCACUCUGCCUUGUGGGAAGCAGCAACGGCCACACCUGCCCCUACUGAGUCCCACAGGCUGGAGGGUGGGUCACGGCGGGGACCAGCCACGAACUCAGCACUGCCAUUCUUAGUGCCUGGAGGACAUUGGCUUGGAAAAGGUCGCCUCAAGACCACCGGGAGGCACUUCCAGCCCUCUCAGAUGGAAAGGUCCCCUUCUAGUCAGAGCUCCCCAGUGACGCUGGGCGACCCCGAGUGGCGCUUCCUGGCCUCCGCGGUGGCGGCCUCCGCGGUGGCGGCCUCCGCGGUGGCGGCCUCCGCGGUGGCGGCCUCCGCGGUGGCGGCCUCCGCGGUGGCGGCCUCCGCGGUGGCGGCCUCCGCGGUGGCGGCCUCCGCAGGACUCCUGCACCGUCAGGGUGAGCGGGUCACAGGUGAGAUCCUUCCGCAUUCAGAGGCUGCCAUUCACUGCAGCCCUGGCCAGGCCCCAGGGGAUAGCCUUCAGGUCCUUGCCCUGGUCAUGGCCUGACUCCUGGCACGGCCUCUGGGACCUGGCCCCAGCCUCUUCUUUUGUCCUGUUGGUCCUCUGGGUUCUAGUCUGAUGUCCUGGAAUCAGCUCCGUGGGUUCUGCAGCCUCUUGCCUGGGGCCUUCCUUAGCCUCGACCUGGUUCCCUGAUUCCCCCUUGACCUUCAUCUGGUGACUCCCGCUGGCCCCUGACGCCCCUCCCCAGAGCACAAUGGACUAGGUGCUCCUCUGGACCGCCUCGGCCCCUGUCCCUCCUGUUUCUCUGCACUGGACACGCUGCUCUGUGACUGAGACCCACCAGCCAGCCAGGGGGAUGUGAUCCUGAUCGUUUUGGAAUCCGCAGGGCCCAGCACCCUGCCUGCACCUAGCAGAUGCUCAGCCCACACCUGUUCCCUCUGACACCGCUGGGUAUCUGCAUCCUCAGAACCGCUGUGGUUCUGCCCGCCACCCUCUGCGCAGACCCUCAGGCUGCCUGGCUGGGCACAGGGUCUGAAUUUAAUUAAUUUUUUUGAAACCAGUUUUUUUUCAUAUUCAUUCUAUGAGUGAAGGGAUCUUUUAUAGGUUAAUUGAGGCAAAAAUGGGAAAGAACAUCUGUCUUUUACUCCCACUGAGUGGGUGGCAUCCUCUCUCUGCAGAGGCAGAGCUGCUGAUGAAUGACUUGAAGAGAACAGCGUUCUAAUUCUGGAUCCUCUAUCAGCCUGCUGUGUGACCUGGAGAUAACUGCCUACCCUCUCUUGGCGUCCUCCAUUUAGCAAAUAUUUAUUGCGGUCCUACCACGUUCCCAACAUUUGACAGGAUCGAACAUAGAUCAAGAUCUCUGUCCUCCCAGGAUUUACAGUCUAAUGGAAGGACAGACAAUACAUCAACAAGCCGCCAAAUAAAUAAAUAUCUAAAUAUAAAUUAAGACUGGCACUGGGGAGGAAUUGUAGGACGUGGAGUAACAGAGUCAUGGAGGUGAGCACGGAGCAAACUACUGAAUGAAAAGGCAAAGCUUCAGUCUGAGGGAUACAAACCGGGCAGGUGGAUAAUGACGUGGGCAAUGGCUCUGCCAUGGGUUAGAUGUGAGGAGUCCCCUAUAAGCUCACGUGUGAGACAAUGUAAAAAUGUUCAGAGGCAAAGCGAUUAGAGUAUGAGAGUCAUGACUUAAUCAGAGGAUUAAUCCACUGAGAUGGAUUAACUGGGUGGUAACCGUAGGCAGGUGGGGCGUGGCUGGAAGAAGCAGGUCACUGAGGGCGUGCCCUUGGGUUUGAUGCUUUGUCCCUGGUGAGCAGAGCUCUCUCUGUCUCUGCUUCCUGACUGUCCUGUCCUGACCUGCCCUUCGGCCACCAUGCUCUGCCUCACCUCCAUCCCAGAGAAAUGGAGUCAGCUGACUGUGGACUGAACCCCUGAAACUGUGAGUCAAAAUAAACCUUUUCUCCUUUCAGUUGUCCUCAUCAGGUAUUUAAUCACAGCAACGAAAAAGCUGAUCCACAGAGUCCUGAGGCAUAAAUCAUUGAGAAGUAGAGGAAAGGCCCAUCUGCCUAGAGAAUAAUUGGUGGCAGGGAGAUCUCACCUGGAUGGAGGGAAUGAUUAAUGCCAGACCAGCUGCUUCCCAGGGCCUUAACGAAUGGCAAGAAGCAGAUCAGAUUUUGCCUAGUCCCAAGCUCAUAAUAGUUGCUCAGUAAAUAUUAGUUAAGAGAAUAAAUUAAUGAACUGGUGCUUCCUUUGAAAGAGUUUGGAAUUAUUGACCAGUGAAGACCAGUCAUUACAUUUAUUAAUACAUUUCUAAGAUUCACAUUUGGCCUCCAG
rnacentral:lncRNA from 1 species